AAUUUUUAGUGAUUGUGAUGAAACAUGGUUUCAUGGCAACUAUCUCUAUGCCACUAAGAUCUACUGAUCCAAGAUUUUUGUUGUUGAUAUAAGGGAGAAGAGAAAUAAAGUGGCUAAGACAAGAAGCUAUAAGUCAGGCAAUUUCUUUCAAGACGUGGAAAACUGCAUGUUUGAAAGCAGAGGUUUAGGAGCCAGUGAAAAGGAAGAGAACAAAGAAAUGGAAGCAGCAGCAGAAAAGCUUAGCAACCAAGUACCUCACAUAUUAUUUUUACAGGCUCCUGGAAUCUAAGACAUUCUAUGCAGAAUCUGAAGACCCCAGAGAGACAGCCAGCGAGAGAGGGAAC